rnacentral:rRNA from 1 species
CUGACGGUACUUGAGGAAUCAGCAUCGGCUAACUCCGUGCCAGCAGCCGCGGUAAUACGGAGGAUGCAAGCGUUAUCCGGAAUUAUUGGGCGUAAAGCGUCCGCAGGUGGUACAUCAAGUCUGCUGUCAAAGACUAGGGCUUAACCCUGGAGAGGCAGUGGAAACUGAUGAACUAGAGUACAGUAGGGGUAGAGGGAAUUCCCAGUGUAGCGGUGAAAUGCGUAGAGAUUGGGAAGAACACCAGUGGCGAAGGCGCUCUACUGGACCUGUACUGACACUCAGGGACGAAAGCUAGGGGAGCGAAAGGGAUUANAUACCCCUGUAGUC